AUGUCCUGCCGCCGGCGACGGGCCGCCUUUUUUCCGACAUCCUCUCUUCGGGCACAGUUGGGCGGAUGUGGUGCACCACUGCAACGGGUUGAUCAUCCUCACGGAAUAUCACAAUCGCGCUGUUUACUGCGUGUGCAACCCGGCAACGGCUCGGUGGGAGCGGUUGCCACGCCCGUCCAAGGCGCCAUGGCCGUGCUGCAUGAAGGGCAUGUUCCUCGCCUUCGACCCCGUUGUGUCGCGGCACUAUGA
rnacentral:rRNA from 1 species